ensembl:lncRNA
AAACGUUUUGAUCUUACUGGACAUCAGUUUUCUGGCAGAGUGACACUGAACAAAACAAAUUACAAUUUAGAAGUGAAGGAGCUGAAGACCACGGACUCUGGGAAUUUUACUUUUGUGUCAUCGACAAAUACAGGACAAAGACCCACAGAGUGCAUCAGACUAGUGGUACAAGAAGUUUUGACACAACAACCCACAGUGACUGAGAAUAACAUCACCAUGAACUCAAACGGCUCCUGUGUGGUUCAGAUGGAGUGCAGCUCAAAGUUUGACAAAGACGUGAUGUACAGGUGGAAAGUGAACAACGUGGAGUACAAUGGGCCCCUGCUGCAGUACCCGCUCACACAAGAAGGAGACAUUACUUUUACAUGUAUUGUUUUCAAUAUGAUCAGUGAAAAAUCAGAGAACAGGACAAUCAACUGUCAAUCCUCUGGUCUAAAGUCAGUGGUGCUCUUGGUCACAGUAGGAUGCAUUGGCUGUAUUAUAAUUGUCACCAUCAUUGGUUUAGUGGUAUACUGUCGACACAGAAAAACAAAAACUGAAUUGAACAAUGAACUCUCAGUGUACGCAGAGAUCGAUGAUGUUUCAAGUGGUAAAAUUACAAAGCCCUGUUCACUUUACGACUCUCUGGAUGCGAAACACAGCACUCAACAAUCUAAACCACAGACGGUGUACGACCAGAUUCAGUUCAGUCGAAUGCAGCAGUGAACCUUGGAUCAAGACGAUUAUAAUAGAGCAGUUAAGUGAUGAUGUCACUUCCGGGUCCAACCAGAAGCUUCACAGCUGAUUUCUAUCUUUGUUUAUGUUCCUCUUUUAUCAAACAAGAGAAAAAGUGUAUCUUUAGCUACUGGCAGUGUCAAAUAUGUAAAUAAGGUAGUAAUAAUCUAUCAUGACAUGGGAUUACUAAUUUGCAUAUUUCUCUGUCAGUCACCGCUAAUGCUAUUUUAGCCUAGCCUAGCCUAGCUUCUUACCUGAACCUGGUUCACUUUCAGUCACAGUAAUAACCAUAGAUCCAUGCUGAUAACCUUUUAACUUCUUUUUUAACGUGAAAUGUGUAAAUUGUAAAGAUGUUCAUUGUUUUCAAUCAGCUGAUGAACCAGGAAGUGACAUCACACUUAACG